rnacentral:lncRNA from 1 species
AAAAAAAACCACAUACAUACAUUGUACACACUCACUGACAAAUGGAUAUUAGCUCAAAAGCUUGGAUUUCCCAAGAUACAAUCCAUAGACCACAUGAAACUCUAGAAGAAGGAUGACCGAAGUGCGGAUGCUUCAGUCCUUCUUAGAAGGGGGAACAAAAAUAUUCAUAGGAGGAGAUAUGGAGACAAAGUUUGGAGCAGAGACUGAAGGAAAGGCCAUCCAGAGGCUGCCCCACCUAGGGAUCCAGCCCAUACACAUACAGCCACCAAACCCAGACAAUAUUGCUGAAGCCAAGAAGUGCAUGCUGACAGGAGCCUGGUAUAGCUGUCUCCUGAGAGGCUGUCAGAGCAUGAGAAAUACAGAGGCGAACACUGACAGCCUACUAUUGAACUGAGAACGGGGUCCCUGCUGGAGGAAUUAGAGGAAGGAUUGGAGGAGCUGAAGGGGCUUGCAACCCCAUAUGACCAACAGUACCA